AUUGAACGCUGGCGGCAGGCCUAACACAUGCAGGUCAAGCGGAGCGAAGGACGGGUGAGGAAUGCCUAGGAAUCUGCCUGGUGGUGGGGGAUAACGUCCGGAAACGGGCGAUAAUACCGCAUAAUAUCAGAUGAGCCUAGGUCGGAUUAGCUAGUUGGUGGGGUAAAGGCCUACAAAGGAGACGAUCCGUAACUGGUCUGAGAGGAUGAUCAGUCAAACUGGAACGGAGACACGGUCCAGACUCCUACGGGAGGAAGCAGUGGGGAAUAUUGGACAAUGGGCGAAAGCCUGAUCCAGCCAUGCCGCGUGUGUGAAGAAGGUCUUCGGAUUGUAAAGCACUUUAAGUUGGGAGGCGUUACCAACAGAAUAAGCACCGGCUAACUUCGUGCCAGCAGCCGCGGUAAUAC
rnacentral:rRNA from 1 species